rnacentral:rRNA from 1 species
UAAGGAAUAUUGCUCAAUGGGAGAAAUCCUGAAGCAGCAACGCCGCGUGGAGGAUGAAGGGUCUAUGACUUGUAAACUCCUGUAAAGAAGGAAAAAAUUCCCAUUAGAUAAGAGAUGAUGGUACUUCUGGAGUAAGCCCCGGCUAACUACGUGCCAGCAGCCGCGGUAAUACGUAGGGGGCAAGCGUUGUCCGGAUUUACUGGGUGUAAAGGGUGCUCAGGCGGAUUUGUAAGUCAGAGGUGAAAUCUUACAGCUUAACUGUGAAACUGCCUUUGAUACUGCAAGCCUAGAGUAUGGAAGAGAGUGAUGGAAUAUCUGGUGUAGCAGUGAAAUGCGUAGAUAUCAGAUAGAACACCAAUGGCGAAGGCAGUCACUUGGUCCAUUACUGACGCUAAAGCACGAAAGCGUGGGUAGCAAACA